rnacentral:rRNA from 1 species
AGCGAACGCUGGCGGCAGGCCUAACACAUGCAAGUCGAACGGACCCUUCGGGGUUAGUGGCGGACGGGUGAGUAACACGUGGGAACGUGCCUUUAGGUUCGGAAUAGCUCCUGGAAACGGGUGGUAAUGCCGAAUGUGCCCUUCGGGGGAAAGAUCUAUCGCCUUUAGAGCGGCCCGCGUCUGAUUAGCUAGUUGGUGGUGUAACGGACCACCAAGGCGACGAUCAGUAGCUGGUCUGAGCGGAUGAUCAGCCACAUUGGGACUGGGACACGGCCCAAACUCCUACGGGAGGCAGCAGUGGGGAAUCUUGCGCAAUGGGCGAAAGCCUGACGCAGCCAUGCCGCGUGAAUGAUGAAGGUCUUAGGAUUGUAAAAUUCUUUCACCGGGGACGAUAAUGACGGUACCCGGAGAAGAAGCCCCGGCUAACUUCGUGCCAGCCGCCGCAGUAAAAC